rnacentral:rRNA from 1 species
ACACACUAUCAUUAACUGAAUCCAUAGGUUAAUGAGGCGAACCGGGGGAACUGAAACAUCUAAGUACCCCGAGGAAAAGAAAUCAACCGAGAUUCCCCCAGUAGCGGCGAGCGAACGGGGAGGAGCCCAGAGCCUGAAUCAGUGUGUGUGUUAGUGGAAGCGUCUGGAAAGGCGUGCGAUACAGGGUGACAGCCCCGUACACAAAAAUGCACAUAUUGUGAGCUCGAUGAGUAGGGCGGGACACGUGGUAUCCUGUCUGAAUAUGGGGGGACCAUCCUCCAAGGCUAAAUACUCCUGACUGACCGAUAGUGAACCAGUACCGUGAGGGAAAGGCGAAAAGAACCCCGGCGAGGGGAGUGAAAAAGAACCUGAAACCGUGUACGUACAAGCAGUGGGAGCCUCUUAAUGGGGUGACUGCGUACCUUUUGUAUAAUGGGUCAGCGACUUAUAUUCUGUAGCAAGGUUAACCGAAUAGGGGAGCCGAAGGGAAACCGAGUCUUAACUGGGCGUUAAGUUGCAGGGUAUAGACCCGAAACCCGGUGAUCUAGCCAUGGGCAGGUUGAAGGUUGGGUAACACUAACUGGAGGACCGAACCGACUAAUGUUGAAAAAUUAGCGGAUGACUUGUGGCUGGGGGUGAAAGGCCAAUCAAACCGGGAGAUAGCUGGUUCUCCCCGAAAGCUAUUUAGGUAGCGCCUCGUGAAUUCAUCUCCGGGGGUAGAGCACUGUUUCGGCAAGGGGGUCAUCCCGACUUACCAACCCGAUGCAAACUGCGAAUACCGGAGAAUGUUAUCACGGGAGACACACGGCGGGUGCUAACGUCCGUCGUGAAGAGGGAAACAACCCAGACCGCCAGCUAAGGUCCCAAAGUCAUGGUUAAGUGGGAAACGAUGUGGGAAGGCCCAGACAGCCAGGAUGUUGGCUUAGAAGCAGCCAUCAUUUAAAGAAAGCGUAAUAGCUCACUGGUCGAGUCGGCCUGCGCGGAAGAUGUAACGGGGCUAAACCAUG